rnacentral:lncRNA from 1 species
GUCAUUGUAACCCUUCAAAGCAAGCACUGGUUUUAAGCUGUGGCAAAUAUUAGCUUUAUAGGAAAUGCAUGAGUAUUAAUUUGUAGUUCCAUUUUCCUGUAAGCAAUACCCGUGGAUCAAAUGAUACUAAAUGCCAGAUAUGAUAAAGUGUAUUUUGCCCGUAUAUGAGCGGAUUUUUAGUAAUAUGGCAAUACCUUUAUAAUGACAUCAGAGAAAUCGUUUUCAUAGUCCAGGGACUGUUUUUCGUUAACGUUCAUCAUCAAGCAAUUAAGUUGGUUUGUUAGUUUUUAACAUUGAACAUGUAUCCUUGAGCAGUCGGUAAACUUAUGUACCACAUAUCUUUGUGUAAAGCAUUAACAAUGUGUGUGUGUGUGUGUGUGUGAGAGAGAGAGAGGGGAGGGAGGGAAUUAUGAUUUCAUCCGAACCCAGUGGGAGAGUUGCAUGCACCGCUAAUCCAACUGUAGUCCAUCCCUAUCUGUUCAGUGUUAUUUACUUUGCAGUGCAUCAUAUUUUUGGGUCCAAAACAUUUGUUGUGGUAAGUUAUCUCUAACUUUUAUUUUUGGUAUGGGAACGUAUAGUUACUAUUUUCAAUUGAGCGCAAACAGGAGAAAUUUGCUCAAGAAGAAGCUAGCUGAUGCUGAUGUAUCAGAUGAAGAUCGAAAUUACCUAUUCAAAUUUUGAGAGAAGAAGGAAACUGAAUAUAUGCGCAUUCAGAGACACAAAAUGGGUGCUGAUGAUUUUGAGUUAUUGACAAUGAUUGGAAAGGGUGCUUUUGGGGAGGUAAAGAUUUUCACUGAAAAUAUGACUGACUUGACCAAAUGAUAAGAUCUCUAUUAUCAAUAAUUAGUUCCGCAUUUACUAUCCAAUAUUUGAUAUGCAAAAU